UACCUUGAAUUGGUAGACUGCUAUUGAAUUAAUUGAAUUUCAAAUCCAACAAUUUUAAUUUUUUUCAAGUUGCCUAGUUUUUUAUCAUGUAACUAAUAGUAGAAAAGUUGAACUUUAGAAAGGAAAAGAAUAUAAAACAAAAAUAUAAAGUAAUAAAAUUGGUAAAGGGAAUUAAUUGGAUGUUCUUAAAGAUGAAUUUAAAUAAAACAUACCUUUGCUAGGAAAGGAACCUUCCA
rnacentral:misc_RNA from 1 species